UAAUGUGUUUUGUCCACUUCAAACGCUGUUCUAAUUGCCAACCGGCUGCUCUAGGCUCCUGAGGAGUGUCCCUUCUCAAAGGAACUGCGCCCUGGAAAGGGCUCCCCGAAGUUCUAGGUGGCCUUGACCUGACACUUGCAUUUUCUAGGCCACUCUUUGGGGUGGCUGAGAAUCAUGACAGACCCUCUGCCAGUCUCUAGUUUCUCUGGGUCAGGUUUCUGAGUACUGGCAUUGGAUUUUAAGCGGCAUGUGACCCUUUGUGUUUUAGUGACUCAGAAAAGUCAAGCCAUUUGCAAAAGUUAGCAGUUUGUUUUGUCAACUUGUAACUGGGUCAUAGCCUUGCUGAGUGAAACCAACUCAUUUCUGAUUGGGCACAAAGAACUGCAUUCUUUGGACGUGUGAAUCCAUGUUCCUCUUCCUCUGGCCACUGAACACCUCCACCAGCUCUUUGGGAAUUGGAUGGAAAGGCGGCCCCUGGGGGCCAGGGGUGUGCAGCUUCCCACUCACGGGAGGAGUGGCCAGGGCUCUUGGUUUAGCAAUUACACAGCUCUAGGUGCGGGAAGAAAUGGCCUUUAAUUACUGAUUGUAUUUGGUACAUAUUGUGUGAUACUUGAAGAGAUAAAAGGGACUUACCAGCCCUUAAUUGAAAUCUAAGCUUUUUACCGCUUUCCCCUCCUUGCCCUCUCUCCUCCCUUCUGCCCUCCUUGCAUUGUGAUGAUCUAGUGGGCAUGUCUGUCACCUGGACAAUUGCCUCUUCUGACUAUAACCUCUUAAUAGUUGUGUAUAAUGAAAACUGUAAACUUUUUUAAAUAAAAUGUGUAUAUACCUUG
rnacentral:lncRNA from 1 species